rnacentral:rRNA from 1 species
AAUGAACGCUGGCGGCAGGCUUAACACAUGCAAGUCGAACGCCCCGCAAGGGGAGUGGCAGACGGGUGAGUAACGCGUGGGAAUCUACCUAGUUCUACGGAACAACUGAGGGAAACUUCAGCUAAUACCGUAUACGCCCUACGGGGGAAAGAUUUAUCGGAAUUAGAUGAGCCCGCGUUGGAUUAGCUAGUUGGUGGGGUAAUGGCCUACCAAGGCGACGAUCCAUAGCUGGUCUGAGAGGAUGAUCAGCCACACUGGGACUGAGACACGGCCCAGACUCCUACGGGAGGCAGCAGUGGGGAAUAUUGGACAAUGGGCGCAAGCCUGAUCCAGCCAUGCCGCGUGAGUGAUGAAGGCCCUAGGGUUGUAAAGCUCUUUCAGUGGGGAAGAUAAUGACGGUACCCACAGAAGAAGCCCCGGCUAACUUCGUGCCAGCAGCCGCCGUAAGAC